UGGGAGAGUAGUGUGUAGCGGUGAAAUGCGUAGAGAUGUGGAGGAAUACCGAUGGCGAAGGCAGCCCCCUGGGACGUCACUGACGCUCAUGCACGAAAGCGUGGGGAGCAAACAGGAUUAGAUACCCUGGUAGUCCACGCCCUAACCGAUGUCAACUAGUUGUUGGGGAUUCAUUUCUUCAGUAACGUAGCUAACGCGUGAAGUUGACCGCCUGGGGAGUACGGUCGCAAGAUUAAAACUCAAAGGAAUUGACGGGGACCCGCACAAGCGGUGGAUGAUGUGGAUUAAUUCGAUGCAACGCGAAAAACCUUACCUACCCUUGACAUGCCACUGACGAAGCAGAGAAGCAAUUAG
rnacentral:rRNA from 1 species